GACGAACGCUGGCGGCGUGCUUAACACAUGCAAGUCGAACGGAAAGUCCCUGCUUUUGUGGGGGACUCGAGUGGCGAACGGGUGAGUAACACGUUAGUAACCUGCCCUUGACUUUGGGAUAACUUCAAGAAACUGGGGCUAAUACCGGAUAGGAGCUCAUGCGGCAGGGUGGGGGUUGGAAAGUGUCGGCGGUUGGGGAUGGACUCGUGGCUUAUGAGCUUGUUGGUGGGGGAGUGGCUUACCAAGGCUUUGACGGGUAGCCGGCCUGAGAGGGUGACCGGCCACAAUGGGAGUGAGAUACGGCGCAGAAGCCUACGGGAGGAAGCAGUGGUGAAGAUUGUACAAUGGUCGGAAGCCUGAUGCAGCAACGCCGCGGGCGGGAUGAAGGCCUUCGGGGUGUAAACCGCUUCCGCCUGUGACGAAGCGUGAGUGACGGUAAUGGGUAAAGAAGCACCGGCUAACUACGUG
rnacentral:rRNA from 1 species